UUCGACCAAAUCAUGUAAGAAACACCGGUUCCCUUACGAUCACCGAAUUUAAGCAACGUUGAGACUUGUCAGUAACUCGAUGGGUGACCGCUUGUGAAUACUAGUAGCUGUAAG